UACAGAGGGUGCGAGCGUUGUCCGGAAUCACUGGGCGUAAAGGGCGCGUAGGUGGCGGCCCAAGUCCAUGGUGAAAGCUCGAUGCUCAACAUCGAGUCGGCCACGGAUACUGGGUUGCUCGAGCACUGUAGGGGCAGAUGGAAUUCCGGGUGUAGCGGUGGAAUGCGUAGAGAUCCGGAAGAACACCGGUGGCGAAGGCGGUCUGCUGGGCAGUUGCUGACACUGAGGCGAGACAGCGUGGGGAGCAAACAGG
rnacentral:rRNA from 1 species